rnacentral:rRNA from 1 species
GAUGAACGCUGGCGGCGUGCCUAAUACAUGCAAGUCGAGCGAACAGACGAGGAGCUUGCUCCUCUGACGUUAGCGGCGGACGGGUGAGUAACACGUGGAUAACCUACCUAUAAGACUGGGAUAACUUCGGGAAACCGGAGCUAAUACCGGAUAAUAUAUUGAACCGCAUGGUUCAAUAGUGAAAGACGGUUUUGCUGUCACUUAUAGAUGGAUCCGCGCCGCAUUAGCUAGUUGGUAAGGUAACGGCUUACCAAGGCAACGAUGCGUAGCCGACCUGAGAGGGGGAUAGGCCACACGGGAAAUGAGACACGGUCCAGACGCCUACGGGAGGCAGCAGUAGGGAAUCUGCCGCAAUGGGCGAAAGCAUGACGGAGCAACGCCGCGUGAGUGAUGAAGGUCUUCGGAUCGUAAAAAUCGGUUAUUAGGGAAGAACAAAUGUGUAAGUAACUAUGCACGUCUUGACGGUACCUAAUCAGAAAGCCACGGCUAACUACGUG